CAGCCGCCACGGGAAUACGUAGGGUGCGAGCGUUAAUCGGAAUUACUGGGCGUAAAGCGUGCGCAGGCGGUUUCUUAAGUCUGAUGUGAAAGCCCCCGGCUCGACCGGGGAGGGUCAUUGGAAACUGGAAACUUGAGUGCAGAAGAGGAGAGUGGAAUUCCACGUGUAGCGGUGAAAUGCGUAGAGAUGUGGAGGAACACCGAUGGCGAAGGCAGCCCCCUGGGCCAAUACUGACGCUCAUGCACGAAAGCGUGGGGAGCAAACAGGAUUAGAUACCCCUGUAGUCCCUGUCUCUUAUACA
rnacentral:rRNA from 1 species